AUGAUGAUGAUGAUGAUGAUGAUAAUAAUAAUUUUAUUUUUAUAUCCCAUUCUCAUCUCCCCCAGGGGACUUGGGGCGGCUCACAUGGGGACAAGCUCAAUCUAUAUAUAUAAAAGUGUAAUGAAAUUUCGGCCUAGGACAAAACAACAAAACUACACAUCCCAGAAACACUCAACUUGGCAGCACAACCCCUCAUCCAUGCCUCUACGUUCAUACAACAAAAAAGGAAAGAAAAAUAAAGUCCUAAUUAGAGGGAGAGAGGAAUAAUUAUUUUUAUCCAAUUGCUGCCAGUUAGAAGGCUAAUCUCCAACUUGGUCUUCUAGCAACCCAAUAAAAAAUAAUAAAAAACACUAAAAAUUAAUACAAUAAAUUACUAUAAUAACAAAAAAUAACUAAAAAUAAUACCAGAAAAUAAUAAAAUAUAAUAAAUAAAAAUAUAACUUACAAUAAAAUUAAUAAAAAAUUGCAAAUAACGUCAAAUAAAAAUUACACAACAAUUUUUAACGAAUACCACCACCACUUUGCCACAGCAACGCGUGGCCGGGCACAGCUAGUAUGUCUAUGAAAUAAAUCUGGCUACAAAUUGUAUCAAUGGCAACACAUUUCCACUGCUCAACUUCAAAAGGGUUUUCUUCCCAAUGUCCAAAUUGAAGUCUUUUAGAUCAGAUGGCAACACUUCUUCUUAGGACAUAUAAACCUGUCAAACAACAGAUGAAGAUCAUCCACUAAACUUCACAAGUGACUGCCUAUCUGAUUGGCCAUACUGGAUGAGAUAAUAAUAAUAAUAAUAAUAAUAAUAAUAAUAAUAAUAAUAAUAACAACAACUUUAUUCUUAUACCCUGCCCCAUCUCCUCGAAGAGACUCGGGGCGGCUCACAUAGGGCCAUGCCCGGACACAACAGAACAAAAUCAAAACAAAAACAACGAUAACAUGUGUAUGCUGAUGACACAUUUAAAUCCCUUAACGGUUCAGGUCUAACUUAUUUAUCCAAUCUUCUCUGGUUUUGUACCGUUUCGUCCAUUCGGAUUGUACAGAAUGGUACAACCCCACGGAAACAAAAGAAACAAUUAAACGAAAAGCAGGGAGGAAUGGUAGCCAAUUGGUCGGCUGAUUUUCGGCGCUCAGCUGUAGGCCCUGGCUCACAGGGCCUUCAGCCAAGCAUCGGCUGCUCAAUGCUCGUAGGCCCUGCCUGCCAGGCCUAGGAGCAAUGAGCGCUCAAUGUCUUGUAGGCCCAGUUCACAGGGCCUACAGUUGAGCGCCGAAUGCUUGAUGCUCAUAGGGCUGGUUCACAGGGCCUACAAGCAUCGAGCGUUCGGCACUCGCCUGUAGGACCUGCGAGCUAACCCAUAUUUUGUAAUAUAUUCAAAUAUAUUCCAUGUCUCUAGUAGUAAUAAAAUAGAAUUGCACGGAACAGUACAACCCCACGGGAACAAAUGAAACAGUAAAACAAAAAGCAGAGGGGAAUGGUAGCCGUUUGGUUGGCUGAUUAUUGGUGCUCAGCUGUAGGCCCUGGCUCAGCUGUAGGCCCUGGCAUUGGCCGCUCAAUGCUCGUAGGCCCUGCCUGCCAAGCCUAGGAGCAAUGAGCACUCAAUGUCUCGUAGGCCCGGAUUGUCAAGAGUUUUAUAUUAUUUAGGUCAUUUCUUAUGUGAAAAUGGAUAAGUGUUCGUAAGAAUCAUGUCCUAUCCAUGUAUGACCAGCAGCAAUCAAGCCACCUGCUAAAGACUGAGUGCUAUUAAUAGAGACUGAGUAAAUCUUGAGAUGAUAAUGAUGAGGAGGAUGAGGAUGACGAUGAUGUUGAGGAUGGAGAGCUGUUAGAGUGGAGAUGAAGAGAGUUUGAAGACGGGGAGUCUGGAAACCAGAGAGUUUGAAAGGCUGGAGACUGAAAGCUUGAAGAUAAGAACAUUUUGUUUCACCGUUUGAAAGCAGCUGAUAAAAGCCAAGGACUGUUGUGUUUGUAUAUACUUUCAUAUAAAUCUUUCUUUGCUAAAAGACAGUUUUUGUUGUAUGUCUUUCGGGCUGUGUGGCCAUGUUCCAGAAGUAUUCUCUUCUGACGUUUCGCCCACAUCUAUGGCAGGCAUCCUCAGAGGUUGUGAGGUAUGGAUAAACUAAGUAACGAAAGGAAAGAAUAUACAUCUGUGUAGAGUCCAGGGUGUGGCAAGAGUCCUUUGUCACUGGGAAGCCAGCAUUAAUGUUUCAGUUAAUCACCCUAAUUAGCAUUGGAAAGGUUUUGUCUCUUGCCUGGGAGCAUCCUUUGCUCAGUCAUUAGCUGUCCUCUGCCCUCAGAGUGUUUGGUCCCCAUCUACUGUUUUGAUUUUAGAGUUUUUUAAUACUGGUAGCCAGAUUUUGUUCAUUUUCAUGGUUUCCUCCUUUCUGUUGAAGUUGUCCACAUGCUUGUGGAUUUCAAUGGCUUCUCUGUGUAGUCUGACAUGAUAGUUGUUGGAAUGGUCAAUGCUGGUCAAUGGUCAAUGCCUAUAUAUUCUUUCCUUUCCUUACUUAGUUUAUCCAUAUGUCACAACCUCUGUGGAUGCCUGCCAUAGAUGUGGGCGAAACGUCAGGAGAGAAUAUUUCUGGAACAUGACCACACAGCCCGAAAGACAUACAACAACCCUGUGAUCCCGGCCAUGAACGCCUUCGACAACAUAAAAGACAGUUUGUUUUGGGUUUUCUCCUUGAACGAAGAGUGCAACUUCCGCAGAAGGGGUUGAAUGUUCAGAACCCCAGUUUGAUAGCUGCGACACGGCUCACAGGGCCUGCAGUUGAGCGCCGAAUGCUUAUGUUCACAGGGCCUACAAGCAUCAAGCGUUUGGCACUCACCUGUAGGACCUGCGAGCUGGGCCUAUGAGACAUUGAGCACUUGAUGCUCGCAGGGCCUGGCACAUUGCUGCCCAAGGUCUGAAAAGUUUUUUUGUUUUUUUAGACCUUGGAUGGAAUAGUUCAUUCAUAUAGGCACCCAUUUCCGUAAGCAGCGGGCGGAAACAGAAAUAGGGCCAUACGAAUUGAACAAACAGAAAUAGUAAAUAAUUCCAUACAAAUGCACAAGCCUAGUACCCAACCGUAUUAUUUUGUAACAUGGGUCAGAAUGUGUCUCAAAUAUAUUCCAUGUCUCUAGCAGUAAUAAAACAGAAUUGCAGGAAGUUAUAUAGCCCACCAUUCGCUGCCCUUCCAUGACAUCCAAAAUCUCCUGCCUGAGGCAACAACUCUCUCUCUCUCAUUCAAGGUUAGGCCAGCUCUGCUUCUUUCUCCUCGGUUUUGUUGCAUGAUCCUGAAUUUUAACAUUAUGAGUGGGAGGAAAACGCUCCCUAUCUCUCUCACACACACUGCUUUACAUGGUAGUUAUUUUUACACAUCUCUUUCAGCUUUGCCCUUAAUUCCUUAGUUUUCCAAAACUAAAACGCCUCCAGAAGUUUUAGUUUUCAUCAAUGAGAAGUCAGUUUAAUGAAUCUGGAUGUCAGACAUGAAGACGCAAGCAUGCAAGGCUCUGUCCCCAUCUACACUGCCAUAUAAUGCAGUUUGAGUCAUACAAUGCAAUAAAACAGCAUUGUGUAAGUCUACUCUCUCUGACCAUAACUAUACACAUAAUAAAAGUGAAAAUGUGUAUGUGAUGGAGGUGCCCCCCACCAACAAUUUGCCACACAGAACCCCCAUGACCACGUUUAAGGGGGAAUUGAUCUUGAUUUAUAGGAGUUGUAGUUCAGCUACAUCCAGAGAGCGCUGUGAACCCAACCAACGAUGAAUCUGGACCAAACUUGUUAUGGAUUAUGGGAUUUGCAGUACUUUUACUCACAGAGACCCCCGCGACCCCCACAAAUGAUGGACCGAGUCCAAACUUGGCACACAGACACCCCCCCCCCCCCGCUUUCCAUGACCCACACUGAACACAAUCAACGACGGAUCUGGACUGCACUUGGUGCACAGAUACAACAUGGUCAACUGUGAAUAUAAGUGGGGUUUGGGGGUGAUUAACCUUGGAAUAUGGGAGUUGUAGUUCACCCUUAUGCAGAGAGCAUUGAACCCAGCCAACGAAGGAUCUGGAUCAAACUUGAUACACAGAUCCAACAUGGCCAACUGUGAAUACUGGAAGGUUUUGAGGCAAUUGCCCUGGGUAUCUGGGAGUUGUAGUUCACCCUUAUCCAGAGAGCACUGAACUGAGCCAACAACGGAUCUAGACCAAGUGAUAUUACCUAAUAUCCCAAAACAAACAAUGCCUUUUUCAAAUCACCCGGGCACCCCUGGGUCUCCAAGCUAGUAAAGGGCCAGGCUGUGGCGCAGGCUGGUUAGCAGCCAGCUGCAAUAAAUCACUCUGACAUGAGUCAUGAGUUCGAGGCCAGCCCAUGUCGGGGUGAGCA
ensembl:lncRNA